AUGGACGUAAAAAAAAAUGACGGUGCGGCUAUACAGCUUAGUGAACUAUUUAUAGCAGACACAAAUGGCCAAGUCCAUUCGAAUGACAAAAACUUGAACAAUUUACCCAAAAGAGGAGAACCUAUACAAACAUCUCAAAGUAUAUUAAAUAAAUACAAACUACUCAAAUGCACUGAAAAAUAUAAUUUGGACGACAAACAAAAUGGGGAUGUUUGCGUUGAAAAGGGAAUUGAAGAAAAACAUGAAGAAAGUAAUAACGACGAGUUUAGUGGUAAAAAUAAAAAAACAACAAAACAAAAUACGUCAAAAAAUACGUCAAAAAAUGAGCCUGACAAUGUGCCUGACAAUAUGCCCAAAAAUGACAUGAUAAAAACAAAACAAUAUAAAAAAUCGAACUUACUUUUAGCUAAUGGUACUAUAGGGUUAAUCGUACACAAUGGAAUAAUGUGCAUAUCCCAUAAAGGUCCACAAAUAUUUAUUGUUGCAAAUACGAAAAAGUCUUAUUGUAUAUAUGAUCCCCAUAAAUUAAGAAAAACCUAUGCAUCCAAUUAUUUUUCUGGAAACAUACAAAACAUAAUUAGUGCUAAAGGUUAUUUAUAUAUUGUGUUUAAAAAUAAAGUAUAUAAAGUGAAUGAUAUUGAAAAAAGAAAAAUUUUUUUUUCAAAUGAUUGUAAAGAUACUAUUAUUAACAUUUUAAUCGUUUCUGAUUAUUUAUUAACGUAUAGCAAAAAAGAAAUAGUUAUUUGGAAUGAUAUCGACGAUGACCAGUUCUUUAAUUCCAGUUCGUCAUGUGACGAUUCAUCAAGCAGUUCGUCAUUUGAUGAGUCAUCUUUAGAUAGUCCACCCUCACACGAUUGCACCAAAGUGGAGACUACUUACCUGUCAGAUAAAACCUUAUCAGUCAACUCUUCAGAAUCUAGAAAAAACGUAAAAAAGAAAACAAAACCGAAACAUAUUAAAAUAAGAAACAAAAACCUAAAUAACCAAUACCUACUAAAACGGAUACUGCUAUUCGAUAAUAAUUCCAAUAUUGAAAUUAAACAUAUUUUACACCCAGCUGAAUAUAUUAACAAAGUAUUAAUUUUAACCAACGAAAAUAAAUUAUAUUUAUAUAACAUAAACAAAGAAAAAAUAAUUCAUGAGUAUGAAUCGAUAAAUAACAUAAAUACAAAAGCAGAUAUAUGUUUACUAUCUAAAACUUUAAAAAAUGAAGAAAUUUGCUUUAUAACAUCAGAUAAUAAAAUACAUAUAAUAGAUAUAAAAAAGGAUGAGAUACUAUAUUUAAAGAAUAUUUACAUGGUGGAUGAUAAAAUCACUUGUGUACAUUUUUUUUAUUAUGAAUGCGAUGGAAAUAGUUACAACAUAAUAUUGUUAGGUACUAAAAACGGUAAACUUUUAAUGCUUAAUACAAAAAAUAAUAUACAAUAUUAUGUUUUAAAAAAUGUACACAAUAAAGAUGUAAAAACUAUUUUAAUAUCGGCACAAGGAUAUAUAUAUACAGCUGGUUAUGAUAAUAAAAUAAAUUUAAUACGUUUAAAUAAAAACACAUUUACAUUAGAUAUAAUAAAAAUGAGAAAUAGUUGUAAUGGUGUUAUUAAUAAUAUAAAAUAUUUGAAUAAUGAGCAUUUUAAAUUAAUAGUAUCUGGAAAUACAAGCGAUAAACAUUUGGGUAGUAACUUAUCUAUUAUUAGCCCUCAUAAUCCUGAACAAAAUACAAAUUUUGCUUGGGAUCAUAAAAUCAAUAUUAUAAAUAAAACAAUCAUCGAUUUUGAUAUUAAUUCGAAUAGACAUUAUGACUGGAAUAAUAUUUUAGUUUGUUUUGAAAACUCACAUCGUGUAUAUUUAGCUUCAUCUUAUAAAAAAAAAAUUUCAGCUCAUUAUUUAUCAUUGCCUUUUACACACAAUGAUAAUGCAUAUCAAAAAAAAAAAAAAACAAAAAAAAUGAUGAUGAUGAUGAUGAUGAUGAUAAUGAUGUUGCCACAGGGGUAG
ensembl:lncRNA